rnacentral:rRNA from 1 species
UACGGAGGGUGCAAACGUUGCUCGGAAUCAUUGGGCGUAAAGCGCGCGUAGGCGGCUGGACAAGUUGGAUGUGAAAGUCCUGGGCUCAACCUAGGAUGUGCAUUCAAAACUGUCCGGCUUGAAUCUCGGAGGGGGUCAGAGAAUUCCCGGUGUAGAGGUGAAAUUCGUAGAUAUCGGGAGGAACACCAGUGGCGAAGGCGCUGACCUGGACGAUGAUUGACGCUGAGGCGCGAAAGCGUGGGGAGCAAACAGG